rnacentral:rRNA from 1 species
UACGUAGGGGGCAAGCGUUGUUCGGAAUUAUUGGGCGUAAAGAGCGUGUAGGCGGCCGUACAGGUCAGCUGUGAAAACUCGAGGCUCAACCUCGAGACGUCGGUUGAAACCGUACGGCUAGAGUCCGGAAGAGGAGAGUGGAAUUCCCGGUGUAGCGGUGAAAUGCGCAGAUAUCGGGAAGAACACCCGUGGCGAAGGCGGCUCUCUGGGACGGUACUGACGCUGAGACGCGAAAGCGUGGGGAGCGAACAGG